rnacentral:rRNA from 1 species
AGACCUGCGGAGGAUCAUUAUCGUAUAACGAGAGGUGCCAGGGCUGUCGCUGACCUCCCAUUUCGAGGUCGUGCACGCCCCGAGCGUCCUCACACAUCCCACCACACAACCCCCCUUUGUGCAUCACCGCGUGGGUUCCAUUGGGUCGGUUCGAUCCAAGCGGGGCUUGCGCUUUUUACACAAACACACUUUGGAUGCAGUGUAGAAUGUCCUACCUUACUUUGCGGUUGUACGCAAUCAAUACAACUUUCAACAACGGAUCUCUUGGCUCUCGCAUCGAUGAAGAACGCAGCGAAAUGCGAUACGUAAUGUGAAUUGCAGAAUUCAGUGAAUCAUCGAAUCUUUGAACGCACCUUGCGCCCCUUGGCAUUCCGAGGGGCACACCCGUUUGAGUGUCGUGAAUUCCUCAACCUUCUGCAUUUCUUAAUAGCAGAAGGCUUGGACUUUGGAGGUUCCUGCUGGCCUCUUCGGAAGCCAGCUCCUCUUAAAUGGAUUAGCAGGGUCUGCCUUUGGCCGAUCCUCGACGUGAUAAGCUGCUUCUACGUCGUGGAUUUGGCUCUGCCUCUUUUGAGACCUGCUUCUAAUCGUCUCGUUGAGACGGCCGUCAGAGUCACCCUUUCUUUCUUCACGGGAAAGAGGAGGUGGACCUUUUGACCCACGAACCCUUUGACCUCAAAUCGGGUGAGACUACCCGCUGAACUUAAGCAUAUCA